UUUGUUUUUAUUUUACAUGUUUAGUGGUAAUAGUCGUAGUUAGUAUCACGAGCAUUUGCAUGAAUUAUGAAGUUAAGCCAAGUUAAUUGCCUAUGAUGAGUUAUGUGCGUAGUUCUUGAUUAGUAAUUUCAAUUGCAAUGCUAGGUUAGUACUUGGAAAUUGCUUGUGUUGGAAAUUGUAAUUCACAUAUGUUCUUGAGAUAGGAUUUAGACGAAAUUCCAUGAAUUCUAGGAUUGAAUUGAACACCCUUCAGCUUAGGUCUGUAAAUCUUAAGUUUGGGGGAACUGAGGAGUAGAUAUCCCUUUCUAAAAAGAAUGAAAAGAAAAAAAAAAAAAAAAAAAUAGUAGUAAAUAAAUUCACUAAAAAAAUAAGUGGUAGAAUUAACUAGGUUGAGCUCAUUAGUACUCGAGUAAUUAAGUCUGAGGGGACUUUGUGCCUAACAACCUAAAGCCCUUCGUGGUUUGGGAUUGUUGACCCAACGCUCGCUACAUGGGUACUAGUGCAUAAAUCUUUAGGGAUCUCAACCAUUGCACGGUUAAAUAAACCACUAGAAUAGAGUGAAUAAUUGGUGUGUGAAGUCUUGUGGUGUUCGUAACGCAUUUACACUGCGAAGCGCUCUGACCUUAGACCGAGCAAUUAAUCACCAAUACAAAAAAAAAAGAAAAAAAAAAAAAAAAAAAUAUAGUGAAUAAAAUAGAAGGGUGUGGACAUUCUUUGGGACCUUGGCUUUUAGUUGGACUUGAGUGACGGGGUGUUAGUUUUAAACUUUUACGAUUCUUGAUUGGGAUUCUGUGGGAGUAGUAGUUUUUGUCUUGUCUCAAUAAAAGAGCAUGCUUGCACACACUGGCACUCCACACUUGUAAAUAGAAGAGUAAUUGACUUGGUAGAGGGAGAGAUGAAAUUCGAGAACAUUAGCACAAUCUGAGGUAUUAUAAUUGGCAAGGCAAUUACUUCAUAGUUCACUCAUUCAUCACGUAGUUGCAUUCAUGCAUUGCAUUGUAUUAUUGUUAGUGUCGUUGACGCUUGAGGACAAGCAUCAGUUUAAGUUUGGGGGGUGUGAUAAGUGGUAUUUAUACACACUUAUAGGCCUUCAUUUCCACUUAAAUUGGUUGGUUGUACUUAAGUGUUUAGUGUCUUUUGAUGUGUUUUUAUUGUUUUUCUGUGCAGGUCACGAGUUGAGGUGAUGAAGUGAUUUUCUAUCAUUUUAGGUUGGUUUUGGUGCAUUAAUUGCAAGAAUAGAGAAUUGUGGAUUCAUCGCGACUUGGGAUUUUGUGGGUAUAUCUUCUACAAACCCUCACGAGAGCACACUCGUCCACUAGAGCUAUCUAGGGGUUUAAAGGGCUUGUUGCAUAUGCUAAAUGCAACCGUGAUCACCUACGGAAGUGGUACUAGAAGCGAGGAAGGACAUGCACGCGAGAACGAGCUGAACACGAAGAAACAGGGCUGCCAUCACAGUUUGAUUAUUUCUCACUAUUUUUAUUUUCUCUAUUUUUAUUUUACAUGUUUAGUGGUAAUUGUCGUAGUUAGUACCACGAGCAUUUGCAUGAAUUAUGAAGUUAAGCCAAGUUAAUUGCCUAUGAUGAGUUAUGUGCGUAGUUCUUGAUUAGUAGUUUCAAUUGCAAUGCUAGGUUAGUACUUGGAAAUUGCUUGUGUUGGAAAUUGUAAUUCACAUAUGUUCUUGAGAUAGGAUUUAGACGAAAUUCCAUGAAUUCUAGGAUUGAAUUGAGCACCCUUCAACUUAGGUCUGUAAAUCUUAAGUUUGG
rnacentral:lncRNA from 1 species